AUGGUGGUUAACCGUAUUAUGAAAGACGGAAAAAAAUCAUUGGCUUAUCAAAUUCUCUAUCGAGCCAUGAAAAAGAUUCAACAAAAGGCAGAAACAAAUCCACUAUUGGUUUUACGUCAAGCAAUACGUAGAGUAACUCCCAAUAUAGGAGUAAAAACAAGACGUAAUAAAAAAGGAUCGACGCGGAAAGUUCCGAUUGAAAUAGGAUCUAAACAAGGAAGAGCACUUGCCAUUCGUUGGUUAUUAGAAGCAUCCACAAAGCGUCCGGGUCAAAAUAUGGCUUUCAAAUUAAGUUCCGAAUUAGUAGAUGUUGCCAAAGGGAGUGGGGGUGCCAUACGCAAAAAGGAAGGGACUCAUAGAAUGGCAGAGGCAAAUAGAGCUCUUGCACAUUUUCGUUAA
rnacentral:rRNA from 1 species